AUACGGAGGGUGCAAGCGUUAUCCGGAAUCAUUGGGUUUAAAGGGUCCGUAGGCGGACUAUUAAGUCAGAGGUGAAAUCCCACAGCUCAACUGUGGAACUGCCUUUGAUACUGGUAGUCUUGAGUUAUAUGGAAGUAGAUAGAAUGUGUAGUGUAGCGGUGAAAUGCAUAGAUAUUACACAGAAUACCGAUUGCGAAGGCAGUCUACUACGUAUAUACUGACGCUAAGGGACGAAAGCGUGGGGAGCGAACAGGAUUAGAUACACUAGUAGUCC
rnacentral:rRNA from 1 species